ensembl:lncRNA
GGCCAGUUUAGAUCACAAGGCUCAAGGCAACAGCUGCUAUGGGGCUUGGCUUUCCGUGGGCGGCGCCUGGGUUUCAGCCUCACGCAGCCGCGUUGGCCCAGAGCAGGCUUCUUGCAAAGGUCUCUUCCGCCCGCCGCGCUGUCCCCGCUGCUUGCGCUGCUGGUGGGAUGUUUUCAAGCGGGUGAUCGAAGUCCACGUCAAGGCUUCAGCUGUUUAGGUGGUACUCAUUAGCAUCUUCAAUACUCUGCCUCCUGGUCACAGUGAUGUUCUAAAAUGAGAGAAGUCUCUUUACAAGGAGUCGUCUCCUGAGACCUCUUGGGAAGAGAGAGAACCAGUUCCUCUCGAGUAUGGGACCCCCCGACACCCUAUCUGCUUACAAAUAAUGCCCAUUUAAGAAAGAAACAGCUACCAAGUGGGGCAAGCAACUUGGCUGUAUUCCAAGCCCUGGUUCCACCUGUUCCAAGCUCCUCAGGCUUCUACCUGUACUUUCUUGUCUGGAAAUAAUUGAGACAGCGGGGCGAUCAUGCUCCCCGUUAUCUCCAGCUGGAACAGUCUGCUCUUCCAAGCUCCUCAGGCAAGGCAGAGGGACGGAUCCACUGCAGAGAUAAAGUAGCCUCUGCCCUCCCCACCCCUUCUCUGUUCACACAGGAGGUUUUCCUUUUGAUCAGGCAAUAUUCACAAAUGACAGAUCCAAAAACUUAAGUACUGAGUAAAAAUAAAGACACCAGGACUGUGGCUUCUCUGUGGCUUUGUUGUAGCUGCUGUCCUAGAUUUUGUCCUCUCUGUGAAGCGAUCGCACAGCAUCUACCUUCACUGGGUUUACAAAAAGCUUCUAUGCUCCUUUGUAACUGGAAUACAUACUCUCACUGUUCUCAGUGGAGUUUUCAGGUUGUUCAGCAGCUCUGUGAUUUACAAGGCCCCCUGAGUGCUCUGAAUCUGGUUAACUUCCAGCUUCCUUACUCCAGGAAUGAAUAUUUUCUGUGCUAACAAUACUUGCCAGCUCAAAAUGAGCUCUGCUUGAGUAGAGUACAUUGUGGUAUGACAUCUUCCAGCUAACCUUGACUCCCUGGCUUCUCUCAGGCUUCUGAGCAGUUGGUGGAAGGAGCAGCCAGGCAGGAGGUCCAUCAUCUCUUUCCUUUGUCUGCCCUCACUGAGCCUAAUCAGGUGCUUUGAGCCCAGUGGGCACCUGGAAAACGUGCCUGUCUGUCAGGCCGCCUGUGGUCUCAUAGCGGGUGGAGCCACAGUGUCACUGCUUCUUCCCAGGAAGGCUCCAUCCUUCCCAUCCCCGCCACCAAGCACGGGAGCUCUGAAAUUACACAGUUGGGGUAUUUCUGCAGCUACGUGCUACAAAUUGCUUCUCUGAAGUUGUGACAGGGCUGAGUUAAAAUAGGCAAGAGGCUCAGAGUAAGUUUUUAACAAGGGGAAUCAAGGAUAGACUGAGCAAAUCGGUGUGUAGAGAAGGAAGACCC